CCAUAGUUUUGCAAUCAAUCUCGAUAAUUGCUAAAUUGGAAGCGCGCUGAUCAGACGACUUGGUUCAGUCUGGCUUAGUAUUUGUUGUAAAUCAGUGUUUUUGUGUCCAAUGAUUGUAGUAUUCGUGAGUUAGCCGAAAGAAAUAACAGUAUGUAUCAAAAAUAUAACUUGAGGUCAACAUAAACGUUCUCAAUUGCGAAUGAAAAACAAGUUUUGGCUGCAGGUUGAGACUGUAUAAUAAGCAAAUUAGCAUAGUAGGCUAACACUGCAGGUUUGCUAAUUUAGUCAUACAAGCUGAAUUAAAGUUACUUUGGAGUAUACUUCGCUAAUUGUAGUGCGUGAAGACUCAGAACAUAUACGAUAACUCUCCAGAUUCAAUUUGGUGUAUCAUCUUGUUGUCCUAUUUUCAAAAAA